CUGAGAACCAGUGUAUUACGAAUUAUCGAUACGUUGAGGAGUCUUAUCAAACAAUCUAUUGGUAAGCUGUUCACUAGCCUAUAUGAUCAAACAAAUAUAUACAUAAUGCAUGUGUAUAUUUACAUAGACACAUAUACACAUGUGUGAUCCUAUGUUUCCAUUGCAUUGGAGAGGAGACUUUACCAGUCCCUAGAACUAAUCAGCUGUUGAUUUUGUAGAAUUGGGGCUUCCUUUACAGAGAUAUCUGAGGAAUAGAUCCUAGAAGGUAGAGAUUGGAGAAUUGGGAGAUCACUCUCUGUCUUGAAACUGUGUGCAUCGUUGGAUCGUGGUAUUCUGCCCCCUACUUUCUUUAUUCAGAACGGCUGAGGAAAAGGCUCGUUAAAUCCUGGGAGUGCCUUUGCAGAUGCCAUUUGGACAGCAAAUGCAACACACCUGAAGAGAUUUUGAGAGAAAAAGUUGAGACCCAAACUGGAGGAAUGGUGUUUGAUUCCCAGUCAGUCACAUUGGAUCGACCCCAGUUCCAGGACAGAAGUAACUAUGAUGGAGAAUGACAGAUCGUAUAUUUUAUCCAAGAGAGGCAGCACUCACCUCAAAUUCCCUGCUUUGGGCUCCUUGAGAAAGUAUGUAAGUUUCUUUUUUCUUGUUUUUUCUUUUUGAGAAAGUCACCAACUUU
rnacentral:lncRNA from 1 species